AAAGUCGUAACAAGGUUUCCGUAGGUGAACCUGCGGAAGGAUCAUUACCGAAUGACCUGCACCUUCUUGUAGCAGACCAGCGCUCAUUGCCCGAACGGGUUGAAUGAGAGUCCCAGGGCCUCUUGGCCUCUUGGCCUUUUGGUCUGCUACGCCUACCAAUACAACCUGUCAUUGCAUGGUGGGGUGGCAUCCUUUCAUUGGGUUGCCCCUCAAGUAUGGAAAUAUCAAUAUAACUUUCAACAACGGAUCUCUUGGCUCUC
rnacentral:misc_RNA from 1 species